UUAAUUUAUUUGUUUGUAUGACUCAGAAGAUUCAAGUAAAAACAAGAGUUUGAGGCCUCCGGCGGGCGCCUGGAUCCGGGCACAGAGGCACCGGGGCGAUCCCGCCGAAGCAACAAGAGGUAUGUUCACAGGGGUUUGGGAGUUGUAAACUCGGUAAUGAUCCCUCCGCAGGUUCACCUACGGAAA
rnacentral:misc_RNA from 1 species